rnacentral:rRNA from 1 species
CUGGAACUUAAGAAGAAGUAGUUUUUAUCAGGUAAAGCGAAUGAUUAGAGGCUUUGGGGAAGAAACUUCCUCGACCUAUUCUCAAACUUUAAAUAGGUAAGAUUUGGAGGAUACUUAAGUGAUCUUUCAAUCUCUUGAAUAUAAAGUUCUUAGUGGGCCAUUUUUGGUAAGCAGAACUGGCGAUGUGGGAUGAACCGAACGUUAAGUUAAAGUGCCAAAUAGUACGCUCAUGAGAUACCAUAAAAGGUGUUGGUUCAUUUUGACAGCAGGACGGUGGCCAUGGAAGUCGGAACCCGCUAAGGAGUGUGUAACAACUCACCUGCCGAAUGAACUAGCCCUGAAAAUGGAUGGCGCUUAAGCGUAUAACUUAUACUUAACCCUUACUUGAAUUAUUAUAGCGAGUAAGGAGUAGGAGGGCG